GGCCGGUUGGCCCAAUGGCAAGGCGUCUGACUACGAUUCACCGUAUCAUCAGGAGAUUCUGGGUUCGACCCCCAGGCUGGUCA
rnacentral:tRNA from 1 species